GGACUCGUAGCUCGGCUGGUAGAGCACUCGCGGUACUAAGGCGAAGGUGGUAACCAUGCGUGAGUUCGAAUCCCGCCGGGCCA
rnacentral:tRNA from 1 species